UCGCCACUCUUUUGCCUCCAGCUCCAACACCAUUCUUCUUUAACGGAUCAAACUCUUGCACACCAAACGGACUCCUAUCACGUUCUUUGUUGCUUGAUCUCCCACCCACUCGAUCCGUCGAUUCAGCUGAGUUCGGUUCCCAAGAAGAAGAAGUUGAGUAUCCCUUACGUUGCACCACACAGCUACUUCCCGUGAUACUGUUGCUUCCGGAAGAUUCUUGCUCCUCCAUGUCCUCCAAGGAAGAAGCACCUCUCUUAACAGUCACGUACUUCUCAAAGCUUGGCUCCAUUAGAUCCGCUUUCUUCGCUGCUGCUGCUGCUGCUGAUGUGAAACUGUUGAGCUCGCUUCUUUGGUGUUUAUUCGUAGUGGAGUUAAGGUCUGAAACUGCUUCAACGAUGGAGCAGGCUUUGGACAUAGAUGAGCUGAUGGCAUUGACAUUGACACUCUUCUGAUGGAAGUUUUGAAUGUCUUCUAGAAGCAAAGCUGCGUAAGAUGCUGGUGCAUUGUUGUUGUUGUCGAUGUUGUUUGAGAGCAAUGCUUCGGGACUGAAAUCGAAAUCACGUGACUUCCUCAAUGAUCUGCUCCUGCUCAAUUGCAUCUGAAAAGAGAACCCAAUAAACUAUAUAUAUGGAUCUAAUCUGCUGCCAUGAUCAAAGAGGUAACCUCAUUCAAUAGCUCUACCUUGUCAUGUGCACAUUUAUCUUUCAUAACCUUCAGCAUCUCUUCAAAUUUUUGACAUUCAAGUUCAUUAGCAUGCAACUUCUUCAUCUUCUCUUGUGUUUUCUUCUUAGUCUCAGUGGGGGGCACCUUGGUCCAUUUUUCUUUAAGAAAAUCCAUACCAAGAAAGAAAGAACUUUCAUCCCAAUCAGAUUCUUUCUCAACAUAUGGUGACUUCUCCAUAUCUCCUCUUUUAAUAGCUUCUUGAACAUUCUUACCCUUACGUGAAGUGACAAAGUCACGCUUCUUUGUCACUCUCCUCCUCUCACUCUCCUCUGAUUUGCUGUUAGAACUAAUGGCAGAUUCAAAAGCUAUCCCAUCAGCUCCCCAAAUAGCCUUUGACAACUGAAAACACUUUUGUUGAUGAGGAUUCAAAACAGAAGCCUGUUGUUCACCCCUCAUCUCAUUCCUUGUAUAUAGUUUUUGCAUAUGACGAAUCUUGUCGCUGAACUGUCUCAAAGUAACAUCAAAGCUAAAAGAGCCCUUCAUGGAUUGGUAGAAACUGCGCUUAUUUUUUAAUGGAUUCUUCCCCUUGGAAUCAAUUAUACCUUGUAGCAAAACAAUCUCAUCUUUCUCACUAAACAGUCUCUUGUCAGUUCCCAUCUUCCCACCUCGUGUACAAAUUCUCUUGGCUACAUUCGAGCUCGCGUUGGAUGAGAGACGCUUCUUCCCUGUCAGCUGAGACUCGCUGGAACCACAUACAUCCUUUUUGGAACCAGAUCUCGGUGGAGGAUCUUCGGGUUCGUCUUCUUCUGAAGAAAAGAUGGUCUGCAGAUUCUGGUCCUCGCUGGCGCUUGAAGAUGGGGAUGAUGGUGGAUCUUCGAAUGGGUGCUUGAGGUUAUUUGCCAUUGUAGUGUGAUUGGCUUUUUGAUUCUAAUUAGUGCUGAAGCUUUGGAUGUUCAAGAAGUCAAGAACUCGCUCUUAGCAAGUUUAAGAAAGAUUCCGACUUAAUUUUGGAACUCAUAAUUUUGGUUCGGUUUUCAAAUGUUUAUCCAAUAGCGUUAUUAACUUUAAGUCAAACUUAUUAAAAGCGCUGACCUAUUUUUGACAAAUUUAAUUCUGUUGACAAAAAAAGAGCGACAAAUUUAAUUCUUGCCAAACUCGAAUAUGAAAUGUAUUUUAGUUUUUAUAGUUAAAUAAUUUUAAUUAUUCUUUAAAUAUAAGGACAAAUCUCUAAAAUAGCAUCUUUCUAAGUUUAUAUCACAAAAAUAGUACUCAAAAAAUAAAAUGACCAAAAUAGCACAUUUCUAAGUUUAUCCUUUGAAAAUUUUAAUUUUUUUUAUUUUUCAAAAUUUGAAAUCUUAUCCCCAAAACCUCAUUUCUCAACUCUAAACCCUAAACCCUAAACUCUAAACUUUAAACCCUAAACCAUAAAUCCUAAACCCUAAACCCUAAACCCUAAACCCUAAAAUCUAAACCCUAAAAUCUAAACCCUAAACCCUAAACUCUAAACCCUAAACCCUAAACCCUAAAUCCUAAACCCUAUCCUUUAACUAUAAAUCCUAAGUUUGUGACUUUUGAUAAAACAUUAAGUCUUAUUUUUGUGAUUUUUGACAUUGAAUGCUAGUUUGGGAACAUAAACUUGAUUUAGUGCUAUUUUUGUAUUUUUCUCAAAAUAUAAUGUAUUUAAUCUUUGUUUCGGUUCGGUGACUUCUACAAAAUCAGCCACCCAUAUCCCUCAUUCUGUACCAGAAGCUUUGAGCUACGAGGAUUGUUACCAACCUACAGACAAGAGAUAGAGAGAGAAACGCCAGUGGUCUUGUAAUGAUGAUGAUAACUUGUCAGUGCGAUCCUCUGGUCGAGAAAUUCAACGUGACUCCAUUUGAUCAUUGGUCUUGUCGCACCAAUCUGCUUACGAUUCUUGGCUCUCUCUCUCUCUCUGUUGCUUUCGAUUAUGAUUGGGCCGAUAAUGCUAUUCGUGAUUCUGAGCUUCAAUCACAAGGUAGAUGCUUUUACUAAUCACAAUUUUUAAUUUCCGUACCUGAUGUUGCGUCCAAUUUGUAGAGACAAUUGGACAAGGUAAGAAGAGAGACGUAACAGAGACAAACAAAAAGGUGGUUGUUUCGAGCAUCCAUCGUGGUAAAAGAGCAGUAAUGAAUAUGGCUAAGUUAGCUUGCCAUUAUCGGUUCUACCCACUGAUUUAGUGAGAUGGGCACGACAAGGAAAUAUUCCGUAUCAAUCAUGUUUUCUCAAGAUUCAAGAAGAGAUGGGUGGAGAGAUCAGCUGCUUGUCCUGUGGAAGCACGGACUAUGUUUAGUGCUGAUGAGAUUGUUUCUGCACAGAGGUUAGAAGAAUAAGCCGCCUCCAAUUGCUGAUAUGAUCGGUUUUGUUUUGCCUCCUGUGAAUUUCUAACUAUCUGAAGCGGUUGUCUGUUCCGGAUGAUAAGGUUCUUGAUCUUGUGCUUCUCAUUCACAACUGGUCAAUGAUAACGUUCUUGAUCUUGUGCUUCCUACUCGUGUCUGUGUAAUGUCUAUUGUGAUUGUAGCUAUAAGGAUGCUUUAUAACAUCAAUUGUUUCUGUAUGUGGGAACGAAGUUUAGGAGGUUUGGUUUCUGAGGAGCCUGAUGAUGAUGAGGUUGAUGCAGAGUUACCAGAUGUCACGAAAACAACUGAAGAUCUUCCGAAGAACCUUGAAAUGAAAUAUUAUGAGCCUAAUGCUGAAACCACUGUUAGAAUCUCUUUAAACACAUUUUGUAGGAAUCUGAACAUUUUAUGAAACACUGAUGAUGUUGGGACUUCAUCCAGGAGGGGAAGAGGAAGCGAUAAGCAGUAGUAGUUAUGCAAGAAAAAGCCUAACCAGGUCCUAUGAGACAUCAUUGGAAUGUUCUCCAUCAGCAGAUCAUCAUAAUCUAGAAGAGGAACUUGUAUUCGCGGCUCAUGCGGAUUACUACAUUCUUUUACGUGUUUGCGCUCGGGUCGUUGAGAGUGAUUGUAGGGAGAGUAACUUGCAUUGAGGAAAGGAUUUAUCAUGUUUUGCAUCAAACUCAACCUUCUAUGACGACAUUUUUGUCAUAGUCUAGACAAUCUUCUUCUUUUUCUGUUUGAUUCACACAGAAAUUAGUGUGUGAACAAAGACAAAAAAAUCUUGAAAUUCAGAUCGUGACAGAAUCGAAGAAACACCCAAAUUAUUGAAAAUGACCAAAUGGUUGCAAAAGAAACGAAACAGAGGUUUGCUACUCUGCAACCAUAUAAAAAAAGUACAUACACAACAACAAUCAAGAAACGAACGAAUUCGCUAUUACACCGAAACUGUGGCAACACGAGUUGUUGUCGCCACUCUUUUGCCUCCAGCUCCAACACCAUUCUUCUUUAACGGAUCAAACUCUUGCACACCAAAUGGACUCCUAUCACGUUCUUUGUUGCUUGAUCUCCCACCCACUCGAUCCGUCGAUUCAGCUGAGUUCGGUUCCCACGAAGAGGACGUUGAGUAGCCCUUACGUUGCACCACACAGCUACUUCCCGUAAUACUGUUGCUUCCGGAAGAUUCUUGAUCCUCCAUGUCCUCCAGCGAAGAACCACCUCUCUUAACAGUCACGUACUUCUCAAAGCUUGGCUCCAUUAGAUCCGCUUUCUUCACUGCUGCUGCUGAUGUGAAAUUGUUGAGCUCGCUUCUUUGGUGUUUAUUCGUAGUGGAGUUAAGGUCUGAGACUGCUUCAACGAUGGAGCAGGCUUUGGACAUAGAUGAGCUGAUGGUAUUGACGUUGACACUCUUCUGAUGGAAGUU
rnacentral:lncRNA from 1 species